GACGAACGCUGGCGGCGUGCCUAAUACAUGCAAGUAGAACGCUGAAGAGAGGAGCUUGCUCUUCUUGGAUGAGUUGCGAACGGGUGAGUAACGCGUAGGUAACCUGCCUGGUAGCGGGGGAUAACUAUUGGAAACGAUAGCUAAUACCGCAUAAAAUUGAUUAUUGCAUGAUAGUCAAUUGAAAGGUGCAACUGCACCACUACCAGAUGGACCUGCGUUGUAUUAGCUAGUUGGUGGGGUAACGGCUCACCAAGGCGACGAUACAUAGCCGACCUGAGAGGGUGAUCGGCCACACUGGGACUGAGACACGGCCCAGACUCCUACGGGAGGCAGCAGUAGGGAAUCUUCGGCAAUGGACGGAAGUCUGACCGAGCAACGCCGCGUGAGUGAAGAAGGUUUUCGGAUCGUAAAGCUCUGUUGUAAGAGAAGAACGAGUGUGAGAGUGGAAAGUUCACACUGUGACGGUAUCUUACCAGAAAGGGACGGCUAACUACGUGCCAGCAGCCGCGGUAAUACGUAGGUCCCGAGCGUUGUCCGGAUUUAUUGGGCGUAAAGCGAGCGCAGGCGGUUAGAUAAGUCUGAAGUUAAAGGCUGUGGCUUAACCAUAGUACGCUUUGGAAACUGUUUAACUUGAGUGCAAGAGGGGAGAGUGGAAUUCCAUGUGUAGCGGUGAAAUGCGUAGAUAUAUGGAGGAACACCGGUGGCGAAAGCGGCUCUCUGGCUUGUAACUGACGCUGAGGCUCGAAAGCGUGGGGAGCAAACAGG
rnacentral:rRNA from 1 species